UACAGAGGUCUCAAGCGUUGUUCGGAUUCAUUGGGCGUAAAGCGCACGUAGGCGGAUCUGCAAGUCAGAGGUGAAAUCCCAGGGCUCAACCUUGGAACUGCCUUUGAAACUGCGGGUCUUGAGUUCGAGAGAGGUGAGUGGAAUUCCGAGUGUAGAGGUGAAAUUCGUAGAUAUUCGGAGGAACACCAGUGGCGAAGGCGGCUCACUGGCUCGAUACUGACGCUGAGGUGCGAAAGCGUGGGGAGCAAACAGG
rnacentral:rRNA from 1 species